CCUACGGGAGACAGCAGUGGGGAAUAUUGCGCAAUGGGCGAAAGCCUGACGCAGCGACGCCGCGUGAGGGAUGAAGGUCUUCGGAUCGUAAACCUCUGUCAGCAGGGAAGAACGGGCACUGUGCUAAUCAGCAGUGACUUGACGGUACCUGCAAAGGAAGGACCGGCUAACUCCGUGCCAGCAGCCGCGGUAAUCCGGAGGGUGCGAGCGUUAAUCGGAAUUACUGGGCGUAAAGCGCUCGUAGGCGGUAUGGCAAGUCAAGGGUGAAAUCCCCGCGCUCAACGUGGGAACUGCCUUUGAAACUGGGAAACUGGAGUGUGUGAGAGGAUAGUGGAAUUCCAGGUGUAGGAGUGAAAUCCGUAGAUAUCUGGAGGAACAUCAGUGGCGAAGGCGACUAUCUGGCACAUAACUGACGCUGAGGAGCGAAAGCGUGGGUAGCAAACAGGAUUAGAUACCCGAGUAGUC
rnacentral:rRNA from 1 species